AUAUUACUAAGCGGAGGAAAAGAAACUAACUAGGAUUGCCUCAGUAACGGCGAGUGAAGCGGCAAGAGCCCAAACUGGAAAUCUCUGCUCCCCGGGGCAGCGAAUUGUAAUCUAAAGGUGGGGUGCUAUAACGGAUGUGGAGCAGAAGUGUCUUAGAACGGACCGCCAGAGAGGGUGACAGCCCCGUAUGUGGUUCCAUAUCCAAUCAGCACUUUACCAACGAGUCGGGUUGUUUUGUAUUGCAGCCCUAAGUGGGAGAUAAACUUCUUCUAAGGCUAAAUAUAUAUGGGAAACCGAUAGCGAACAAGUACUGUGAAGGAAAGAUGAAAAGCACUUUGGAAAGAGAGUUAAACAGUACGUGAAAUUGUUGAAAGGGAAGCGCUUGCAACCAGACUUGCACGCUGUCGAUCAUCCGAGGUUUUCCCCGGUGCACUCGGCGGCGUUCAGGCCAGCAUCGGUUUCAGUGGUUGGAUAAAGGCCUUGGGAAUGUGGCUCCUCCGGGAGUGUUAUAGCCCUCGGUGCAAUGCAGCCUACUGGGACCGAGGACCGCGCUUCGGCUAGGAUGCUGGCGUAAUGGUUGUAAGCGA
rnacentral:rRNA from 1 species